rnacentral:rRNA from 1 species
AUGCACUUGCUAAGUCUCGUCACCAACAUGAGGGCUCAUGAUGACACCUGGUUUGCGGAUUACUUGCUAAGGGUAGGCAAUGGCACCGAGGAAGUUGACGAUCAAGGAAACAUACGACUCCCUGAAGAUAUUUGUGUGUCAUCUACAACUGAGGGUGACGACCUGGAGAACCUAAUUGACCAUGUGUUCCCGAGACUAGAUGACAACAUGUCUGAUCUGAAUUACAUGACUUCACGCUCAAUCCUAUCCACCAUGAACAACAACGUCAACAAGAUAAACAUACCCAUGGUAGAGAGUUUUCGGGGAGAAGAAGUAAUCUACCAUAGCUUUGACAAUGCAGAAGACGACCCAUAUGGCUACUAUGCUACCGAGUUCCUAAAUGGAUUGACUCCCAACGGUCUGCCUCUGCAUGCACUCAAACUGAAGCUCAACUGCCCUGUCAUACUUGUGAGGAACAUGAUCCAGCUAAUGGUCUGUGUAACGAGACGAGGCUUGUGGUGCAAGGUUUUGAGAGGAAUGCCAUCGAUGCAGAAAUCGUGA